rnacentral:lncRNA from 1 species
GAAAGAAGAAAAGAAGAAAAGUUUUAUAAAAUAAAUUAAAUGAAGAAUGAAUACUGAAUAAAAUCAAAAGAAUAAUCAAAGAAAAGAAAAAAUAGUAAAAAUUUGUGGGUUGUCUCCCACGAAGCGCUUUGUUUAAUGUCGCAAGCUCGACAUAAAACUAUUAAAUGUUAAUCUAUAAAUUUAGGAGACAAUACGUCUAAGUGCA